GGAGGGAAAAGCUGCUGCAAAACUUGCAAGCCGUAGCUUGGAUCCCAUCGUGCUGCUCACAGACAGCUGAUGCGCAGCGCUCGAUGUUCAGCUCAUCACAUAAUGAGAUCCCACCAGAGGAACAACAUUAGGAUGCCUCCCAGACAGCCAAGGCCUUCAAAAUGCAUGGAGGAGGAGCAGCUCCAUCGAAGUCACGCAUAGCUGAGCAUCCCAGAGGGGGAAGGUGAGGAUGCUGGGUGACACCAUCGCUUCCCCAAGGUCAACCAUGAGUUGCUGAAGACCUCCCAGAGCCAUCGUUCUGGCAGAGACCAAAGGUUCAAAGCAGCAUCCACUGCUCCAGAGCCUGAAGACCUCACCACCCAUAAACACCAGGAAGAACAAAGGGCUGCCUGCAGGGAGUUGAUGGGUGGCACAAAAGCUCCUCAAUGCAGGGAUUUUGCCAUCUCCAGAACACAUCUCCAACAGCGUGUCGUCAGACCUUACAGACAUAAAUGCCUACAGCACAUCAGAGAGCCCCAGUCACCCCAUCCAAUGGGAGCACUGAUGUGCACACGUGGGAAGCGCAGCCAUUAUAAGCCACUCUCAAGGAGUUCACUUUUUAUGGGUGAAAACCUUCCUUUUUGGGUGUAUGAUUUAAGCCCCACUGGAGACUGUUUGCAUUCCAAAGGUGGCUCUCACACAUCCAACUCUUCUUGAGAAGGAGCAAAAUCAGGAGCAGAGUUGCAACCUCCCUGCACACACGGUAUCGCCUUACACUCCUGCAAUGACAAGGAUUGCUUUUUCUUUGCUGCAGAGGCAAUGUGCAGGAUCCCAUUCCCCCAUCCCAGAUGGCAUCCCCAAGAGCAAUGGCUCCGGAUGGACGUGUCACAAUAAAAUCUCCCUUCUAU
rnacentral:lncRNA from 7 species